UUUUUUUGUUUUUUUUUUUUUCUCUUUUUUCCCUUUUUUUUUUUUUCUCUUUAUACC
rnacentral:ribozyme from 1 species